rnacentral:rRNA from 1 species
UUUGAUCCUGGCUCAGGAUGAACGCUGGCGGUCUGCUUAACACAUGCAAGUCGAACGGGAUCUUCGGAUCUAGUGGCGGACGGGUGAGUAACGCGUGAGAAUCUGCCUUUUGGUCUGGGACAACAGUUGGAAACGGCUGCUAAAACCGGAUGUGCCUAAGGGUGAAAUAUUUAUAGCCAGAAGAUGAGCUCGCGUCUGAUUAGCUAGUUGGAGUGGUAACGGCACACCAAGGCGACGAUCAGUAGCUGGUCUGAGAGGAUGAUCAGCCACACUGGGACUGAGACACGGCCCAGACUCCUACGGGAGGCAGCAGUGGGGAAUUUUCCGCAAUGGGCGCAAGCCUGACGGAGCAAGACCGCGUGGGGGACGAAGGUUUGUGGAUUGUAAACCCCUUUUGUCAGGGAAGAACACAAUGACGGUACCUGACGAAUCAGCCUCGGCUAACUCCGUGCCAGCAGCCGCGGUAAUACGGAGGAGGCAAGCGUUAUCCGGAAUUAUUGGGCGUAAAGCGUCCGCAGGUGGUUGAACAAGUCUGCUGUCAAAGCGCGAGGCUUAACUUCGUAAGGGCGGUGGAAACUGUUUAACUAGAGUGCGGUAGGGGUAGAGGGAAUUCCCAGUGUAGCGGUGAAAUGCGUAGAUAUUGGGAAGAACACCGGUGGCGAAGGCGCUCUACUGGGCCUGCACUGACACUGAGGGACGAAAGCUAGGGGAGCGAAAGGGAUUAGAUACCCCUGUAGUCUUA